GUAAUUUCAAAGUCCUCAUAUUAACACGACACGUGACCAAGCUGGCGACACUCAUAAACACCACAACACCGCAACCACACAAACACCGCACAAACUCAGCACAAUCACAACACGAGAUCGCAGACACACGCGAAUACAAAAACGAACACACAAAGGCGCGACCAAACUACACAGAUGAAAACAGCGUCUCCUCCACCGCCUCCGCCGCCUCCCCGAACGCCCAUGACAACCACUCAAUGGGAGGUUGAGCGGUACCAGCGCGAAGAUGAGCAGGAGGAUGAAGCUGGCUUGUGUGUUAUUAGUUGAGCGUGAAUGAAGACAGACUUGGAGUGGGAAACGUAAGAAGGCUUAGGAGGUAUCUAUUACGCAGUAUUAUGAAGGGUGACUUGGAACUUGCUAUCUUGUUGCCACUUGUAGCUGUUUGAUGACGUGACAGAUAGUGAAUGUGACAAAUGGGCAUUAUAUAGGGCAAUAAAACAAGUAUAGCAGCCUUCAA
rnacentral:misc_RNA from 1 species